GUUGUAUGGUUAAGUGACUAAGCGUACACGGUGGAUGCCUUGGCAGUUGGAGGCGAUGAAGGACGUACUAACUUGCGAUAAGCCUAGUCAAGCCAGUAAGAGGCGCUUGAGACUAGGAUUUCCGAAUGGGGAAACCCACCUGCUUGCAGGUAUCGUUAACUGAAUACAUAGGUUAACGAGGCGAACGCGGAGAACUGAAACAUCUAAGUACCCGUAGGAAAAGAAAUCAACCGAGAUUCCGAAAGUAGCGGCGAGCGAAAUCGGACCAGCCCUUAAGCUUUAGUGUAGUUAGUGGAACAUGCUGGAAAGCAUGACGAAACAGGGUGAUAGUCCCGUACACAAAAACUUAUCUAAAGUGAAAUCGAGUAGGUCGGAGCACGUGAAACUUUGACUGAAUAUGGGGGGACCAUCCUCCAAGGCUAAAUACUCCCAACUGACCGAUAGUGAACCAGUACCGUGAGGGAAAGGCGAAAAGAACCCCUGUGAGGGGAGUGAAAUAGAACCUGAAACCGUGUACGUACAAGCAGUAGGAGCCUACUUGUUGGGUGACUGCGUACCUUUUGUAUAAUGGGUCAGCGACUUAUAUUCUGUAGCGAGGUUAACCAUUUAGGGGAGCCGUAGCGAAAGCGAGUCUUAACUGGGCGCUUAAGUUGCAGGGUAUAGACCCGAAACCCGGUGAUCUAGCCAUGGGCAGGUUGAAGGUUGAGUAACAUCAACUGGAGGACCGAACCCACUAACGUUGAAAAGUUAGGGGAUGACCUGUGGCUAGGAGUGAAAGGCUAAUCAAACCGGGAGAUAGCUGGUUCUCCCCGAAAUCUAUUUAGGUAGAGCCUCGGACGAAUACUUACGGGGGUAGAGCACUGUUAAGGCUAGGGGGUCAUCCCGACUUACCAACCCUUUGCAAACUCCGAAUACCGUAAAGUAAUAUCCGGGAGACACACGGCGGGUGCUAACGUCCGUCGUGGAGAGGGAAACAACCCAGACCGUCAGCUAAGGUCCCAAAGUGUAUGUUAAGUGGGAAACGAUGUGGGAAGGCUAAAACAGCUAGGAGGUUGGCUUAGAAGCAGCCACCCUUUAAAGAAAGCGUAAUAGCUCACUAGUCGAGUCGGCCUGCGCGGAAGAUGUAACGGGGCUAAACAUACCACCGAAGCUACGGCUGCGUACGUAAGUAUGCGGGGUAGGGGAGCGUUCUGUAAGUGGCUGAAGGUGUGCCGGGAGGCAUGCUGGACAUAUCAGAAGUGCGAAUGCUGACAUGAGUAACGACAAGAGGAGUGAAAAACUCCUCCGCCGGAAGACCAAGGGUUCCUAUCCCAUGUUAAUCAGGGUAGGGUGAGUCGACCCCUAAGGCGAGGCUGAAGAGCGUAGUCGAUGGGAAACGGGUUAAUAUUCCCGUACUCGGUAUGAAUGCGAUGGGGGGACGGAGCAGGCUAGGCAAGCAUGGCGUUGGUUGUCCAUGUGAAAGGCUGUAGGCUGGUGACUUAGGAAAAUCCGGGUUGCUAAGGCUGAGAGUCGAGACGAGCCACUAAGGUGGUGAAGUUGUUGAUGCCCUACUUCCAGGAAAAGCCUCUAAGCUUCAGUUCAUACUGAAUCGUACCCUAAACCGACACAGGUGGUCAGGUAGAGAAUACUAAGGCGCUUGAGAGAACUCGGGUGAAGGAACUAGGCAAAAUUGUACCGUAACUUCGGGAGAAGGUACGCUCUUGUUUGUGAAGGACUUGCUCUGUAAGCAAACGAGAGCCGCAGUGACCAGGUGGCUGGGACUGUUUAUUAAAAACACAGCACUGUGCAAAAUCGUAAGAUGACGUAUACGGUGUGACACCUGCCCGGUGCCGGAAGGUUAAUUGAUGGGGUUAGCUUAGGCGAAGCUCUUGAUCGAAGCCCCGGUAAACGGCGGCCGUAACUAUAACGGUCCUAAGGUAGCGAAAUUCCUUGUCGGGUAAGUUCCGACCUGCACGAAUGGUGUAACCAUGGCCACGCUGUCUCCACCCGAGACUCAGUGAAAUUGAAAUCGCAGUGAAGAUGCUGUGUACCCGCGGCUAGACGGAAAGACCCCGUGAACCUUUACUACAGCUUGGCACUGAACAUUGACCCUACAUGUGUAGGAUAGGUGGGAGGCUUUGAAGCAGAGACGCUAGUUUCUGUGGAGCCGACCUUGAAAUACCACCCUUGUAGUGUUGAUGUUCUAACUUAGGCCCCUGAAUCGGGGUUGAGGACAGUGCCUGGUGGGUAGUUUGACUGGGGCGGUCUCCUCCCAAAGAGUAACGGAGGAGCACGAAGGUUUGCUAAGUACGGUCGGACAUCGUACGGUUAGUGUAAUGGUAGAAGCAAGCUUAACUGCGAGACAGACACGUCGAGCAGGUACGAAAGUAGGUCAUAGUGAUCCGGUGGUUCUGAAUGGAAGGGCCAUCGCUCAACGGAUAAAAGGUACUCCGGGGAUAACAGGCUGAUACCGCCCAAGAGUUCAUAUCGACGGCGGUGUUUGGCACCUCGAUGUCGGCUCAUCACAUCCUGGGGCUGAAGUCGGUCCCAAGGGUAUGGCUGUUCGCCAUUUAAAGUGGUACGCGAGCUGGGUUUAGAACGUCGUGAGACAGUUCGGUCCCUAUCUGCCGUGGGCGUUUGAGAAUUGAGAGGGGCUGCUCCUAGUACGAGAGGACCGGAGUGGACGAACCGCUGGUGUUCGGGUUGUGAUGCCAAUUGCAUUGCCCGGUAGCUACGUUCGGAACUGAUAACCGCUGAAAGCAUCUAAGCGGGAAGCAGGCCUCGAGAUGAGUUCUCACUUUGACUUAGAGUCAACUGAAGGGCCGUUGAAGACUACAACGUUGAUAGGCGAGAUGUGGAAGUGCUGUGAGGCAUUAAGCUAACUCGUACUAAUUACCCGUGAGGCUUAACCAUACAACGCCAAAGUGGUUU
rnacentral:rRNA from 3 species